GACACCACGUGAUCCGAGAAACAACAGUGACGUCACAUGAAGAGGAAGAGAAGUACUGUUGUUUUUAGCCGGCUUCUUGAGGUGCAUGUGCGGCGAAACACGCCAGUUUCUCUCGCUCCAACUUUCUCUCACUGAGAGGAGGAAGAGAUGGGCCGUUGAACUGAGAGCCCGUACUUCGCGUUGUCUGUGUCUCCCGAUCCGUUCGCUCUUGAGCGUCUCGGAACGGCGUUGGCUGGGCAGUGCGCGAGCGGUGGUUCAUGGUCGGUGUGGUGAUGCUUCUCCGGUGUGCCGUGUAGCAAAAUGCCCGUGCCCGAGGUGCGAUACCAGCACAAAUUCUACCGUGACGCAUCGAUCGGAUUAAGAGAUUGACCACUACGCUUGUGGGCCAAGACAGCCAUGGACAUCAACACAUGGUCACGGUGACGCAGCUGCUGAUGUCUGGCGGCUAACGAAAGGAAAACAAGCUCCCGUGAAACGAACACCUGAAAAAAGAGUCACCCGCCGGUUAAAACGUGACCGUUACCAAAGCAAUGGACGGAGCACCGAUUAUACUGACUCCCACAUCGACCGACGCCACGAGGCAUGAGAACCACAAGAGAGCGGAUAUCACCGCCACUACAAAACUGACAUCGCCGAAGCACGAUGAGAAAGAUGUGAAGAAGGACGGUCAGCAUGGACUGACCUAUCCAGAGGACAUCUCGACGAACCACAACCCCGGCUACGCCAGUUUCGUAGACGAGUCGGACAUGGUGGUCUUAAGGCUGCUCGAGCUCUUGCACAGCGUACUAUUGUUCGGCAUGAAACUGCUCAAGAGCCACGGUCGAUACGCUUACUCAGCCUCGUGAUCGAUUCCACGAACUGCGAGUACAAAUAGCGGCGUAUAGAUCGACAAACUGUUCGUUACAGAGGCGCUCUUCCUCUCGUACAACAAGUGCCGAGCGUGAUUAGUGCACAUAUCACUAUUUCUUGGGGCCAAACACAGUGUACUCGUUCCGCACGUCAUCAAUGCGCAACACGCGUUACGUUAACUACGCGUAGGUCAGUUUGUGCACGUACCGUUGAUCAAGCAGGCGUCCUGUUUUGCUGUGUUCAAGCGAGGUCAAGUAUACCAUCAAGGUCACGGUAGCGAAACGCGAAUAAGCGACGCGUGCCCGCACGUUCCACUGUAUCAAAGCGACCGGAACUGCUGAGCGAGCUAGCGGUCGUGGCCGUUGCUCAUGCCCCACGCCCCUUAUUCAUUUAUUUACAACAGUUACAUGACAGUUUGAAUUGCGCUUAUAAUUUUUUAUUCUUCAUAUGUUGCCUUACGUUUGUAGUUCCAAGUCUCACAACUUAAUUCAUUCAUGAAAUGUUGAUGGCAAGAAAAGGCUAGUGGAUCUUAUACUUAUAAUAAAAACACCUCACAUGUAUUAAAACAGCCUGACUGAAAAAACCAGUUGUUCGAAAUGCACGCUAUGCGCGUUUAAAUACACUCGUCGACUGCCCUCGCAGUAUUGAUGUCUGAUAUGUUUGACAAUUUGAAAUAACUGCUCGAUUAUAUAAACUCAUUCGCACGAAUGAUUAGCCGAGUUCAUUCAACUAGAACAUUUCCGCGAUUAUCUAUGAGUGGAUACGAAAUAUUAUUAGUGAUAGCUGAUAGCGGCGACAAGUCAUGCGAACUAUAGGGCAUUGAAGACCUCACUGACUCCCUAAUUCUGAGUUGAAAAUUGCCCUCCCAAAUACAAACGAAAUAAAGCGCACAUUUUGCGAUUUGCCACAGAGCUCCUUAAAUAUGUGCCCUAUAGAAAAUAAAAUGUGCCAAUGAAAAAAAAAUCGAACAAUUUGUCGCAUUGACGCCCGUUGACAAUGAUCUCAAAGAACGCGGUUAAGUGUCAUAUUUGAAUGGCAAUCAGCAAUUAAGAAGCAUUCAUGGUCUCUUGCAGCAUUGCGCCGUUAGAGGAUUUCAUAAUUACAAAAUAAUUACACCAGCCCCUUAAGCCCAGCUUCACUACGGCUUACGAAGCAACCACAGAGGCGUAAUAAAACGUGGGCAACGUGUAGCGGUAUACGCUAAACCAUCGAACAAGAUAUCUGAGCGUUCCUACACCACGCCCUGUGUAAUAUCGUAACACAUGUAGUACAGUGAAAAAAAUUUUCAACAAGCGGCGCCGCUGUCUCAGUUUUCGCAUCCCUGCAAGCUUCCAUUUUCCGCUGUACGUCCAUCACACUUAUAUAGCACGAAUUACCGUAAUGUGUUGCCUCGUCAUCUCAAAAGCAUUACCGACAACCGCUGCGCGCAUGGUGCAUCGAAAACAUUUCGGCGAUUUGACAAGACUUGUUGUGUUAGCGUCAAUAAAGCCAGACCAUAAAGUUGGCAGAUUAGCUUUUUGUGUCUGCCAUAGGGCACGCCAGAACAUGUUCGAGUCUGUAUUAAUCACGUGCCACGCAAAAGCAAUCGAAAGCAGUCCCCAUGCUUCAGUGCUGCUGCCAGCUUUACACUAGCGUCCUUGUUUAUCUACCAGUUGGAGUAUAUAUAGGCACUAUCUUAAACAAUUGAGUAAUGAUACCAACACAAAUUCCACAGUUGCGCAUGGAGAAAGCACCAGAGAUACGAGGGACUCAAGAUGAUGCCGACAAGUCUUUCAUCGUGACCGAUUUUUAAGUCAACUAUAUGGUGUCCAAUGGCACGCAGUCGUACCGGAUGUUUAUUUGUUCGAAUGUUAACCUAGUUUGAUAUUUAUACUUUUGUAAAGAGAUGUUGAAUUAUUUAUGAUAUUUAUAUAAAAGUUAACACGUCUUGUUUUUACCAAUAAAGAAGUUGUACGAUUUC